AGGAGAUUCAUGUCCCUUGGCAGGGGGAGGCCAAGUUCCCUUUACUGGGAAAGGGGAAUGAGCCCAGGAUUCCUGGUCAUCCUCUGAGGCCAGUUCAGACCUUGCCUCCCCAUGGAGCACACCCCACCUCAGGCCAAGGGCCAGUCACUCCUCAUUCUGCCAUCUCAGGGUGGCAGAACCAUGCCUGACAUGCGGUCACUGAGGGCCCAGAAGACCCCAUGAAUACCUCCCAGAAGGUGGACUCUGUCAUCAGCCACCUGGCUCCCCCUCAUAGGGAGGCCAUAGCAGUCACUCUCCAUGGGGCCACCAACCUUCCCGCCUGCAAGGAUGGCUCUGCACCAUGGCCCUACGUGGUAGUAUAAAUAGCUAGCUGGUUGAGAGCAGGGUCAGGGAUGGUGUGCAAGCUGGAGCAGAAACCAGCGUGUGGAUAUUUGGGAUAUGAGUACCCAAAGGUUCAGGGCAGGGACUGUGACACCCAGAGAGGAAAGAAGGCCGAGUGUGAACCACCCAGGGACUGUGGGCUCUGCAGAGGUCUCAUAUCUUCCCUGCUGUGUGGGAAGCUGCUCACCAUGGCUGGGGAGGAGGGAAGAGCCACUCCUUGAUCUCACAACCACCAGGGUUUGGCCACAAAUCGACCUCAGCAAGGCAGGGCCCCCAGAUGCAGAGACCUGGGCUGGACUCAGUGGGAGGUGAUGGUCAAAGGAAGGAGAAAGCCUAAGGCCUACCUCUCCCGGCCUCUGAGUGCUCCGUCUUACCAUGCCCAGUCCUGGGGUAAGGGCCCCAUGACCACCCUCCUCCUCGGUCCCCAUCACUGCUUUGCAUACGUGUAUGGUGCUCAGUCAUGUCUGACUCUUUGCAACCUCUUGAUCCUAUGGACUAUAGCCUGCCAGACUCCUCUAUCAAUGGCAUUCUCCAGGCAAGAAUACUGGAGUGGGUUGCCAUUUCUUACUCCAGGGGAUCUUCCUGACUCAGGGAUCGAAGUUGUGUCUCUUGUGAUUCCUGAAUUGGCAGGCAGAUUCUUCACCACCAGCGCCACCUUCUUUGGUCAUUUCUAUUAUGAGGCUUCCCUGGUUCCUUCUGAUCCCUUAAUGCAUGAUCCCUCCCCUCCAACCAGCUGGAGUCAGGAAGCAUACUUCUUGCAGCCUGGUAUCUGAGUGAGACCUGGUAUGUCAUGUACACUGCAUGCUUCCUGGACCUCACUUCUGCUGGAAGGGCAUCAAGGGGCGACAGAGUCUCCAUCCAACCAAACUUCUAUAUGGAUGAGGGGAGGGUAACAUCUGCUCAGUCUUGAUUAUAAAGCAUGUGCAGUAACCCCUCCAUGAACUUGCUAUCCCUUAGCUCCUCUGUAGACUAUGGGAGCCCUUAGGCCUCCCCACCAGGCUACCUACCCCUCCCCUCCUGCAGGCUUUGCCCACCUUUCCUUUGGGGGAGUGCCUACCCCAGCUGAAAUCCACCUUCAGAGCCUGGUUUGUGCCCCUCCCCCUCAGGGCACCCAUCCUAGCUGAGCUGUCCCUGCUUUGGGACCCACAGCAGCAGCAACACUGGUCUGACAUACUUUAUAUAAACAAAAUUAGGUGCUGCUCCUCUGUCCCCCACACUGGGGUUUCCAAGGACAGACCCCCUCUCCCCCUCUCCAUUUC
ensembl:lncRNA